rnacentral:rRNA from 1 species
AGCAGCCGCGGUAAUUCCAGCUCCAAUAGCGUAUAUUAAAGUUGUUGCAGUUAAAAAGCUCGUAGUUGAAUUUCGGGAUCAAUUUAUCGGUCGUGCCAAUGGUAUGAACUGGUACAAUUGGUUUCUCCCUUCUGACGAAGCAUGAUGUCAUUAAUUUGGUGUCGUGGGGAAUCAGGACUGUUACUUUGAAAAAAUUAGAGUGUUUAAAGCAAGCAUUAGCUUGAAUACAUUAGCAUGGAAUAAUGAAAUAGGACGUUUGAUCCUAUUUCGUUGGUUUCUAGGAUCGACGUAAUGAUUAAUAGGGAUAGUUGGGGGCAUUAGUAUUCAAUUGUCAGAGGUGAAAUUCUUGGAUUUAUUGAAGACUAACUACUGCGAAAGCAUUUGCCAAGGUAUGUUUUCAUUAAUCAAGAACGAAAGUUAGGGGAUCGAAGACGAUCAGAUACCGUCGUAGUCUUAACCAUAACUAAUGCCGACUAGGGAUCGGAUGAGUGUUAAGUUUUUAAUGUACGUACAUUC